rnacentral:rRNA from 1 species
GACGAACGCUGGCGGCGUGCCUAAUACAUGCCAGUAGAACGCUGAAGGAGGAGCUUGCUUCUCUGGAUGAGUUGCGAACGGGUGAGUAACGCGUAGGUAACCUGCCUGGUAGCGGGGGAUAACUAUUGGAAACGAUAGCUAAUACCGCAUAAGAGUAGAUGUCGCAUGACAUUUGCUUAAAAGGUGCAAUUGCAUCACUACCAGAUGGACCUGCGUUGUAUUAGCUAGUUGGUGAGGUAACGGCUCACCAAGGCAACGAUACAUAGCCGACCUGAGAGGGGGAUCGGCCACACUGGGACUGAGACACGGCCCAGACUCCUACGGGAGGCAGCAGUAGGGAAUCUUCGGCAAUGGACGGAAGUCUGACCGAGCAACGCCGCGUGAGUGAAGAAGGUUUUCGGAUCGUAAAGCUCUGUUGUAAGAGAAGAACGAGUGUGAGAGUGGAAAGUUCACACUGUGACGGUAUCUUACCAGAAAGGGACGGCUAACUACGUG